CUGCACGUCAGCCGCUGCAGGGUCCAGGCUCGGGUCGGGUGCGGUGAGAGCCAUCAAGGGGGAGGCGGUUUGGUGCCUGCUCCAGGAUGCACUUAGAAAACAGACCAAGACACCAAGCCAUCAUUUCCCCAAAGUCUUUAUCUCUCUGGGGACCAGGCCUGCCUUUAUUUGGAUUGUCCAGUUGCUGCGAAGUGGCCUUUUUGUCCAGAUGCUGUGGCGUGAAGAGUGGAAGUAUGAGCUUCAUAAAAAUUUCACAGCCAUAAAAGAAAGGGGAAAAGCUGACUCGACGAGCAGCUGAGUACCAUCUUUGCACACUGGAGGACAGAAAUCCUUCAAAGUCAGCGCACACUGGCUUGGGAAAUCAGCCCAAGAAGUCAGAUGCGCUUCUUACAACGGAAGUAAACUUGAGAGACAGCUUGGGUUACUUGACCUGUAAUCGGCAAUGUCUGCUCACUUUCUGGAGGUCAACAGAGUUAGUGCCUGGAACUUCACCUGCAUGAGGUGUGUGCGUAGCCUAGAAUGGCUGGGAGAGUCCUACCAGGACAGCUGAGACACCCUGGAGCUUUGCUGCUGUGAGAUUUCUCUUUGUAUUUAAUAAGAGAAUGCUCAUAAUAAUAUAAUAAUGGCCCUGCUGUGCUUCCUAG